rnacentral:tRNA from 1 species
GAGGGUAUAGCUCAGUGGUAGAGUGUGUGCUUGAUGUGUACAAAGUCCUGGGUUCAAUCUCCAGUACCUUCA